CAGGCUUAACACAUGCAAGUCGAGGGGCAUCAGGAAGAAAGCUUGCUUUCUUUGCUGGCGACCGGCGCACGGGUGAGUAACACGUAUCCAACCUGCCCUUUACUCGGGGAUAGCCUUUCGAAAGAAAGAUUAAUACCCGAUAGCAUAAUGGUUCCGCAUGGUUUCAUUAUUAAAGGAUUCCGGUAAAGGAUGGGGAUGCGUUCCAUUAGGUUGUUGGUGAGGUAACGGCCCACCAAGCCUUCGAUGGAUAGGGGUUCUGAGAGGAAGGUCCCCCACAUUGGAACUGAGACACGGUCCAAACUCCUACGGGAGGCAGCAGUGAGGAAUAUUGGUCAAUGGGCGCUAGCCUGAACCAGCCAAGUAGCGUGAAGGAUGAAGGCUCUAUGGGUCGUAAACUUCUUUUAUAUAAGAAUAAAGUGCAGUAUGUAUACUGUUUUGUAUGUAUUAUAUGAAUAAGGAUCGGCUAACUCCGUGCCAGCAGCCGCGGUAAUACGGAGGAUCCGAGCGUUAUCCGGAUUUAUUGGGUUUAAAGGGAGCGUAGGUGGACUGGUAAGUCAGUUGUGGAAGUUUGCGGCUCAACCGUAAAAUUGCAGUUGAUACUGUCAGUCUUGAGUACAGUAGAGGUGGGCGGAAUUCGUGGUGUAGCGGUGAAAUGCUCAGAUAUCACGAAGAACUCCGAUUGCGAAGGCAGCUCACUGGACUGCAACUGACACUGAUGCUCGAAAGUGUGGGUAUCAAACAGGAUUAGAUACCCUGGUAGUCCACACAGUAAACGAUGAAUACUCGCUGUUUGCGAUAUACAGUAAGCGGCCAAGCGAAAGCAUUAAGUAUUCCACCUGGGGAGUACGCCGGCAACGGUGAAACUCAAAGGAAUUGACGGGGGCCCGCACAAGCGGAGGAACAUGUGGUUUAAUUCGAUGAUACGCGAGGAACCUUACCCGGGCUUAAAUUGCAGUGGAAUGAUGUGGAAACAUGUCAGUGAGCAAUCACCGCUGUGAAGGUGCUGCAUGGUUGUCGUCAGCUCGUGCCGUGAGGUGUCGGCUUAAGUGCCAUAACGAGCGCAACCCUUAUCUUUAGUUACUAACAGGUUAUGCUGAGGACUCUAGAGAGACUGCCGUCGUAAGAUGUGAGGAAGGUGGGGAUGACGUCAAAUCAGCACGGCCCUUACGUCCGGGGCUACACACGUGUUACAAUGGGGGGUACAGAAGGCAGCUAGCGGGUGACCGUAUGCUAAUCCCAAAAUCCUCUCUCAGUUCGGAUCGAAGUCUGCAACCCGACUUCGUGAAGCUGGAUUCGCUAGUAAUCGCGCAUCAGCCACGGCGCGGUGAAUACGUUCCCGGGCCUUGUACACACCGCCCGUCAAGCCAUGGGAGCCGGGGGUACCUGAAGUAUGUAACCGCAAGGAUCGUCCUAGGGUAAAACUGGUGACUGGGGCUAAGUCGU
rnacentral:rRNA from 1 species